UCUUGACCUCGGAUCAGGUAGGGAUACCCGCUGAACUUAAGCAUAUCAAUAAGCGGA
rnacentral:rRNA from 1 species